AGUUUAGUAAGGUUUAUUUUAUUCAGCAAUCGAAACAUAUUGUAUGUUAAGCGAUCAAGGCCACUAGCUGUAUCUUUUCUAGAUUUUACUGCACUGGAUAUUUCAUCAAUUGAGAAUGGGUCAGUGAGAAAUUUUGGGCAUGAAUUAACAGAAUUAAACUGUUUGUCAUCAAAAGGUGAGUGUACAAAAUCAGGAGUAUAUUUGCGUAAAAAAUCAUUGACCCAUGAUAUAUCUUUAAAAUGAUUUUGACGAUGUUUUGAAUUUAGUUUUCUCAUAUUUUGCCAAACAGUGGAAAUUGGUGUUAAUCUAUUAAAUUUGGAACAAAAUUCCUGCCACCCCUGUUGUCUUACUUGCUUAAUUACUAACUUUUUAACAGCUUGAACUCUUUUAAAAUUUAUGUAAUUAUCGAGAGUUGGAUUUUGUUUAAACCUAAGGUAAGCCGCUUUACUAUCAUUGACAGCUGUCGCACACCUGUUAUUCCACCAAGGUACUGCAAUAUGUUUGUGCCUCUUUGAAGUAUUUGCACCGCUAUUUGAUAAGUUCCUACGUGGAACGGAACGUUCCACAGCUGUCAAAAUAAUUUUACAGAACCUAUUGUAAUUGUUUAAGGGUUCAUUGACAUCAUACUCGAAAUCCAAAAGUAAUCGAUUAACAGUUUCAGAAUAAAGAUCCCAAUUAACGAGACGUAGGUUUAUACGAUUUAACAAAAGUUUAUUAACUUCAUCUAUAGAAGCAUGUUGUUCACCUGACGGAGUUGAUGAAGAGUUCUUUGUGUUUAUUUUAGUAAAAGUCGGCAGAUGCUGCAACGCUCAGAAUUCUUACAGAAUUUAGCUAAAUGUCCAUACCUCAAGCACCGGUAGCAUUGUUUAACUGGUGGUAUAUAUGGAGUGACAUUGUGGCGCCAACCUCCAAUAUCCAGAUAUUCAGGUAAUACAGAUGCAGCAAAAGUAAUUGUCACGGUUAGAGUUGGCUGUAACACAUAUCCAUGAGUCAAGGUAUUUUUUCUUAAAAUUCUUUUAAUAGCAAUAAUUUUCUUAGAACUCGAUAUCAUAGUAUAUAUUUUUUUAUUAGAUAUAUUUGUAGGUACAUUUCUAAUAACGCCUGUAACUUCUGUUGAAGAAGCAGGAAUACUGGCCUUAAAAUGGUAGUCAUUUAAAAAAGUUUUAUUAUUUAAAAAAGCAUUGGCUAAGUCUGGCUUUUGAAAGUAUACUCCGAUUUUGAAUUUAUUUAUAGAUCUAAGAUAAGUUACCCCUUUAUUAAAUCGUUUUAAACAGGAGGAGAGUGAGAGCAAGUCUCUGGAUCCAAUGGUUUUCUGACUAUCUGAGGAUUCUACAAAGACAACAAAUUCUGUCCCAGGGGAUUCCUCGGGAUAUCUUCUAAUAUAAUCUGUGACGUAGUAAGGUUUAUACUUAUCGGCCUUAUCAAUUUCAGAUUCUGAGUCAGUAGAAGUAUCUUCCGAAUAUAUAUCCUUGUCAUUACAAGGUUCAUGGUCUACAUCACCUGAAUCGUCAUCUUUUUUUUUCCUUUUUCUACAACUGCGCUUCCCCAUGAAUGCUAAUUAUAUUACUGUCGCUGAAUUUAGUGAAAAUAUAAUAUUUUAUUAAAUAAUAAGAAUUGAUAGAGAUAGUUUUAAUAAAUUAAUAAAAAAAAUUUAAAAAA